rnacentral:rRNA from 1 species
GGCGAAAGCAUGACGGAGCAAGACCGCGUGAGGGAGGAAGGCUCUUGGGUCGUAAACCUCUUUUCUCAGGGAAGAACACAAUGACGGUACCUGAGGAAUAAGCAUCGGCUAACUCCGUGCCAGCAGCCGCGGUAAUACGGAGGAUGCAAGCGUUAUCCGGAAUGAUUGGGCGUAAAGCGUCCGCAAGUGGCAAUGUAAGUCUGCUGUUAAAGAGUCUAGCUCAACUAGAUAAAAGCAGUGGAAACUACAUAGCUAGAGUACGUUCGGGGCAGAGGGAAUUCCUGGUGUAGCGGUGAAAUGCGUAGAGAUCAGGAAGAACACCGGUGGCGAAGGCGCUCUGCUAGGCCGUAACUGACACUGAGGGACGAAAGCUAGGGGAGCGAAUGGGAUUAGAUACCCCAGUAGUCCUAGCCGUAAACGAUGGAUACUAGGCGUGGCUUGUAUCGACCCGAGCCGUGCCGUAGCUAACGCGUUAAGUAUCCCGCCUGGGGAGUACGCCGGCAACGGUGAAACUCAAAGGAAUUGACGGGGGCCCGCACAAGCGGUGGAGUAUGUGGUUUAAUUCGAUGCAACGCGAAGAACCUUACCAAGGCUUGACAUGUCGCGAAUCCUGGUGAAAGCUGGGAGUGCCUUCGGGAGCGCGAACACAGGUGGUGCAUGGCUGUCGUCAGCUCGUGUCGUGAGAUGUUGGGUUAAGUCCCGCAACGAGCGCAACCCUCGUUUUUAGUUGCCAGCAUUAAGUUGGGCACUCUAGAGAGACUGCCGGUGACAAACCGGAGGAAGGUGGGGAUGACGUCAAGUCAGCAUGCCCCUUACGCCUUGGGCUACACACGUACUACAAUGCUCCGGACAGAGGGCAGCAAGCAUGCGAAUGCAAGCAAAUCCCGUAAACCGGAGCUCAGUUCAGAUCGCAGGCUGCAACUCGCCUGCGUGAAGGAGGAAUCGCUAGUAAUUGCAGGUCAGCAUACUGCAGUGAAUUCGUUCCCGGGCCUUGUACACACCGCCCGUCACACCAUGGAAGCUGGUAGUGCCCGAAGUCAUUACUCCAACCUUUCGGGGAGGAGGAUGCCUAAGGCAGGACUGGUGACUGGGGUGAAGUCGUAACAAGGUAGCCGUACCGGAAGGUGUGGCUGGAUCACCUCCUUU